UUAUUUGGUUUAAUUGAUACUGCGUCUUUUAAGACUGUACUCACACGGUCAUAAAAUAGAUAUAUGGGCCCGUCUGUUAUUGAAAAGCGUAAGGAAGUUGCAUGGAGCCUUCAAAGGUGAACGCAUAAAACAGACGUUCCCUAAGCAUCUCAUGCUAUUUGGAAAUUACAUAAUUUCCCAUCACAGGAUCAAGGCAAGCAGCAGUCACUGCCACUGGGGGUGCUGUUUCGGGUGCUGCUGACGUAACGAUCGUCCUCUUGCCGUUUUUUGCUGUCCAGUUCCCUCCAACACUCGUUAUAGUUGGCACACAACUUGGCGUGUCAGUAGACAAUUCGCUGUACCCGUUGAAGUAGACAAAGCAACCUUUUGAGACGCUGCGGGCAAAACAACUAUUCUUACCACCGAGAUAAAGACCAUUUCAAGUUGGAUAUUCACGCUUUCAAACCUCAAUCCACUUGAGCCACAGACACCAAACCAAGUUAACCAGAAAGUGAAAGACAACAUCCCUUCAAUUGCAUCAGCCAUCAUAAGAUACAUCAUGGAGGUGUCUCACACCGUGGAAACAGAGGAGCAGAUGACAUGCCUCCAGAUCUACACUGCAUAUUACCCCUGGACACAAGUACCAGGCUGAGGACCCAGUGAGGCAAUUGUGCAUUGAGUUUCUUUCAUAGAUUACUUUUACUACAAUAACAGCCAUAUUGUAUUAUUUUCUCUUUAAAUUAGAAGCAGUUUUCUUAAAAUGCUUAACAUUCUGAAAGCUUAAAUCAAAAUGUUGACUGUACCUCAAAUGUUUUUAUAUUCCACCUUGUAAACCACUCCAAGUAUUAUUCGGACUUAUGUUAUUUUAUCAAAUGUGACACUAAAGAAUGUGAAUAUUACCCUUUUUCAUGAUACCCAAAUAAGAGCAAGUAUCAGAAUUCAAUGAAGGACGAUGUUAGGGUGGGGGAAGGAUAUUGUUAUGUCACCGUUUUGGAAAUGUUGAUUAUAACAAUUACACCGUUUUGAUUUGAUUAUCGUGUUAAAGGCUUUGGCAAGUACAAGCAACACAUUUUACCUGUGAGGAAUAAAGGCACAUUCUGAAAAACUGUCUAUACCUGUAUAUGUUUUCGUCUACCUGCAUGUGAGAUGAUAUGACCCCUAUUUUCUCUAUCUUGGAGCUGAAGUUAGUGAGCCAGUCAAACAAUGUAAAAUUCAAUUGCUCACAUCUUCUCACAAUCAUAUUUAUUCAUUGAGUGCCUAGCUGAAUCACAAUAGGCCAUAGUAACUUCAAAUGAAAGGACUUGUAGUUGGUGAAGACAUAUUGGCAAGGUCCCCUAUCCCUAGGUGACUAUCAACCCCUCUUCCACUCUCUUGCCUGGCAAAUUUAACCAGAAAUAGAACUAUGAAGGAGAAGAGACAGGGCAACUAGCUCUGAAGCCAGUAUGGCCCAGCGCAACUUGGGCCUGGACCUGAAUGCGUUCAUGCUCAUCUACCUGCAGGAGGUAACCCCCUCUCAGCCACCCCCCCUGUAAACAGCGGUAGACUCCAGAGUCAGACAGAGAGGCCUGGUGGAUGAGGUAGCCGUUUCUCCCGUGAGAGAUCCAGAGAGUGGGAGCUGUUCUUCUGGAGAAGGUCCAGCUGGGUUAGAGGCAGUGCAUCUCGUUCCCAGUAUACAGGGCUGUAGGCAGGGAGGUCAUUAGAAAGAAUAUAAAAGAUAUUAGAACCAAU
ensembl:lncRNA